UGCGCAGAAAAGGAAUGUUCGAAAUUUGGAAAGGAAAAUUUGUAUAGGAGAACAAAUUAGCGAAAAUAAGUCAUUCCACGUGAUGACAGUCACUAUCAGCGGUCUAAAUCAAAAGGGAAUAAUGAAAACUUACUUCAGGGAAUUAGCAGUUACUUGCGGAGAACAGGAGUGACAGUAAAGCAGAAUAGCUACAGACCAUGAAUUGAGAAAUGAAGAUAUGCAGAUGUAAAUGUAUAACAUGGUGUAUGUGGGAAACAUAGCGGACAGGAAGCAAGUAAGACAAUGUGAAGUAACGGUAACAUAGAAUGACUAGAGACCAUUAACUUCAGAACUGAAGAGGUCUUUAAUCUAUAUGGUGAAUGAUGGAACCAUGGUGGAGUUUUGGAUUUAUAAGGUGUGAAGUUACAGGAAAGCAGAAUAACUACAAACCAUGAUAUUUAGAAAUGAAGAGAUGCAUGUUUUUGUUCAGCAUGGUGUAUAUGGUAAACAUUGUGGAUGGCAGACAUGAAAUGAUUUGUGCGAAGUAACAGUAAAGCAGAAUGGCUACAGACUUUCAAUUCAGAAUUGAAGAGAUGCAGGUCUUUGUUCUAUAUGGUGUAUGAGGGAACCAUGGCGAAAAUUUGGAUUUCAUGGCAGUCAUAGAAAUAUCUAAUAAG